rnacentral:tRNA from 1 species
AUUUAUAUAGUAUAACAAUUAUAUUUAACUUCCAAUUAAAAGAUCUAAAUAAUAUUAGUAUAAAUA